ensembl:rRNA 5S_rRNA 5S ribosomal RNA
GUCUACAGCCAUACCACCUUGAACACGCCUGAGCUUGUCUGAUCUCGGAAGCUAAGCAGGGUCGGGCCUGGUUAGUACUUGGAUGGGAAACAGCCAAGCAGAGGUCUUUGAAUUGCUGCAGCUG